GCCAGAUCAAUUCAUGAACAUUCUCAUAGAAAACUGCUCACCGCGUACUCACGAUUCAACCCCUUGGGUGUCAUCGUCUGUAGGCGGUGAAUCCUAUAGGCUUCACUUUUCAAUAGUAACUCCACCCUAUUACCUCCCCUUCGAGGGGGUAGUACC